UAGAAAACUGAUUGAAGGAUUAACACAACAAUCUGCACAAACUGAACCACAGAAUUCAGCAGGAAUUUCAUUGAAAUAAGGAUCAAGAAUUUGAUUAAGUUGAAUUCAAAGACACACUAAGGCUUGCUAUUCCAGGUGUGGUCUGGAGACCAUUAGCAUCAGCGUCACCUGCAUGCUCAUCAGAAACACAUAAUCUGAGGAACCACCACAGACUGAAGUGGAAUCUGUUUUGAACAAGAUUCCAGAUGAUUGGCUUUCUGAGAGGUUGGUCGUCUUAACAACUAUGGAUUUUCGACUCUGUAUACUGAAAAGAUGUUACAAAAUUAUACAUGAGUAAAUAAUCCUUUCAACAUGCAAGAAAGAGCAAUGGAUUUGAAGGUAACAGCAUACAAGAAAAGUUGAUUGACAUGGUUUCAGAUUUUUCAACACAAUUAACCUUAAAGAAGCUACAAUUGGGAUUUCAACAGAGAACUAGAAGGAGUACAGGGAAGGUUAUGUCUUCUUUUACACAAUCUUCAGAAAGUAUGUGUCACUUGGAGAUUUAACAGAGGGCCAUGAAGACUUUCACCAAAGAAAGACCCUGGUUGUGAUAGUGAAUAUAUAUAUAUACUCACUAUUUAUCACUAUCAUUUCUACAGUUGCACCCCCUUAACCACAUGGAAUAUGUUCCAAGACUCCCAUCGGAUGCCUGAAACUGUGAAGAAAUGUAAGCAGAGACAGCUUGUUUCUGAAGUAGACACACACAAUUUGGCACAGUUCUCUACAGUUCAGCACAAUAUGGUUGAAUUGGCAGUCUCUGCUCUGAGGAAGCCAUUAUUGUCUCUGAAACUUCAUUAGUCAAAUCCCUACAGAAUGAGAUCUUUACAAGGCAGAAAUAAGACUAAUGGCGUGAUGCGGGCACAGAUACACUAAUCUUCAUACUUGAAGAAUAUUUACCAUGCAGAAAAGAUGGCUAAGCAGCUUAUAACGCAUACGACUUUCUUUCAUAAUUCAUUAUGAAGAAACAAAGUUCUUUUUUUCAGAAUCGAUUUUACUAAUGGUAAUUUGAAGACUUUUUUUUACUAUGCACAUGUAUUGAAAUUAAUUUUAAAAUAUUUUUAUAUAUUUCCUGGUAACAUAAAAUAUAAUAGUAUCACAAACAUUAACUUUUUGAAAAAAUUUAUAGGAUUUGUUUAUUGUAUUAAGCAUUGUAGUUUAUAAAGUCUUCAGUUAGCCAAAAUUCAAAAGGACCGAUUUGGAUGAGUAAACUCUUCUCCAUAUGGUAAAACUUUUUCUUUCCACUACUUUUUGGGAAUAUUUUACAAAAAAUGAUACAUUUCUUACAUUAGCACAGUAUAAGAACGUAAUAAAUAUAUUUCCCUGAGAAUCCAGUCAUUAUUAUGAAUCACAUUUGUACUAGCUUGUAAAAGUAGGUAUUAAGAUAUUAAGUGAAAUAUUUAAACUUGUAGAAAAAAAGUUACAUUGGGCCCAAAUCUUCCCUACACACACACACACACACACACACACACACACACACACAUACACACACACACACACACACAUGCGCACAUGCAUACAUGAGAUUAUAAAUAUUUAAUUUCAGGCACCAUCAACAUGUAAAAUUUAAAAUAAAUAUAUUUAAUACAUAAAGGAGUCGAAAGUUCUAACUGAAUUCUAGAUUUGAAUCCAGACCUAUCAUGGAGUCAAUAAUAUAUUUUUAAGAAAAAUUAAAAAUAAUAUACAUAAUUUAAAAUAUACAACAUGAGUCAUAGUGUUUAAAAUGAGAACAAAAAUUAAGAUAUUGUGAAAUAUUGUCAAAACAAACUACAAUAGAGUUAUUCUGAGCAUAUGGAUGCAUUCAGUAAAUACAUUAUUAAUUUGUAUACCUGAUUUUAUUCUUCAAAUGAAAUUUUAGAGUGUUCAAGUUAGGCUAUAUAAUCCUUUAAAAUUUCUACCAUAAAUAUAUCUGAGUAAUUGUGAUUCAUAAGUGGUCUACUGUACUUUAUAAUGUUCAUAUUGUCAAGUGAAAUUGUCAUAUCAAAAUUGUUCAUGUGAUUUUUAAAAUUUUGAUGUAUAUUCUUUGUUACUUUUUAUGGACUUAGCUCUCCAAGAUCAUUCACAAAUAUAGAAUAUAUAUUCCUUGUCAGGAUAGUUGAUUUUUUUGAGUAUUUAAUACUCAAGUUUUUACAUAGUAGGUGUUCACUAAGUAUUUCCUCCUUAAUUGUUUGACUAAAACAUAAUUAUUUUGUAUACUGUUGUAUACCCAGAAUCUAAAAUAUAUGGUAUAAUUAAUCAGAAGAAAUAUUAAUUAUUUCUAAGCUUAAAUCAUUAAAACAAGAACAAUAUAUUUGUGGGGCUAUUAAAUUUUAGCACAUGCAUGCAUAGUCAUUAUGCUUAAAUAUAUGGAACCUGAAUAUCUGGUAUCUAGCAGCAUAGACUUUCAUAAUUAUUAUUAUCAGAAUCAACUGUUUUUAGAGAUACUACAAAGCUAUGAAGGAAUAAACUGUUAAGUAAUUGAUUACUUGAAAACCCAUCAUUUCUCUUCAAUUUAAGGGAUGCUGGUUAUCUAAUUUGUGUUUCCUGUAUGAACCACUGUAGUCUGAUAAUUAAUUACCUUGAAAUGCUAAUCCAAUGUAAAAUUCAAUAAAUUGCUU